rnacentral:rRNA from 1 species
CCUACGGGAGGCAGCAGUGAGGAAUAUUGGUCAAUGGACGAGAGUCUGAACCAGCCAAGUAGCGUGAAGGAUGACUGCCCUAUGGGUUGUAAACUUCUUUUAUAUGGGAAUAAAAUGUUCCACGUGUGGGAUUUUGUAUGUACCAUAUGAAUAAGGAUCGGCUAACUCCGUGCCAGCAGCCGCGUUAAUACGGAGGAUCCGAGCGUUAUCCGGAUUUAUUGGGUUUAAAGGGAGCGUAGGUGGAUUGUUAAGUCAGUUGUGAAAGUUUGCGGCUCAACCGUAAAAUUGCAGUUGAUACUGGCAGUCUUGAGUACAGUAGAGGUGGGCGGAAUUCGUGGUGUAGCGGUGAAAUGCUUAGAUAUCACGAAGAACUCCGAUUGCGAAGGCAGUUCACUAGACUGCAACUGACACUGAGGCUCGAAAGUGUGGGUAUCAAACAGGAUUAGAUACCCUUGUAGUC